UUAGAUGAGCUGAUUUCUUCCUAGGU
rnacentral:piRNA from 1 species